GAGAACUGUCAUACCAUUCUGAAAACACCAAUUCUCAUCCGAUCCCCGAAGUUAUGCAGCAUUGGGUUUGGUUAGUACUUGGAUGGGUGACCGUCUGGGAAUCCCAGAUGCAGUUUUCU
rnacentral:rRNA from 1 species